rnacentral:snoRNA from 1 species
UCUUCUUGGUGGGGUUCGGGCGUGCGGUCCCAGUUCCCGUUAUGAACGGAGGCAGAGAUCCCCGGCUCCCUUGGUGUCAUUCUUCCCAUGCUGGUGGUUUCCAGUCCACCGGUUCUAUCCCCAAGCACCAGGACUCAG